CUCCGGCUCACCCAAUCCCGACACGGACUGCUCUCCGCCUCACCCAAUCCCGACACGGACUCUUUUCCGCCUCACCCAAUCCUGUCCCGAGCUUUUUCCGCCUCACCCAAUCCCGACGCGCUCUUUCCGCGUCAGCCAAUCCCGACACGGACUGCUCUCCGCCUCACCCAAUCCUGUCCAGAGCUUUCUCCGCCUCACCCAAUCCCGACGCGCUCUUUCCGCGUCAGCCAAUCCCGACACGGACUCCUUUCCGCCUCACCCAAUCCUGACGCGGGCUUCGCCUUCGCUUCCAGUUCCUCUUUUGCCAUUCUCAGGGAGGAGGAGCUGCUCUUCUGGAUAUUUUGCAACCUGAUGGCGUGGAAAACAUUUCUCCUUUCGAUCUGGGAAAAAAAUCCUCAUGCAUGAUUCCCCGAAGAUUAACUAACAGGUUGAGAUGAUGGUCAAUUUACUAAUCUGCUCCAGAAAGACUUGCUUCCACCUGCAUAUCCCUUCUCCACUCUGCAAAUCUCCCUUGAAACUGCCAUCCAUGCUUUUAUCUGGACACCCAACUAUUACAGAACACUCUUGACCUUCGCCCUCAUUCUAUUCACUAUAAAGUUGAUUGAAAGCUCUUUUGUUCAUAAUGUGUUGUGUCAUAAAUGCACCUUAUUAUUUGUUCAUUUAUUUGUGAUAUUACUAUGUUUUGUGUGUACAAGUUGUACGUACUGUGUUGUGCAACUUGGUCCAGAGGAAUGUUGUUUUAUUUACUGGUAUACAUGUGUAUGGUUGAAUGACCAUACAGACAGAGCGUAGGUGUUCAGCAAAACGGUCUUCCAGUCUGCGUCGGGUCUCACCAAUAUAUAAAAGGCCACACCGGGAGCACCGGACACAGUAUACCACACCAGCCGACUCACAGGUGAAGUGGCGCCUCACCUGGAAGGACUGUCUGGGGCCCUUAAUGGUGGUGAGGGAGGAAGUGUAAGGGCAAGUGUAGACUUGUUCCGUUUACAAGGAUAAGUGCCAGGAGGGCCAGAGGAAGCAGGAUCUCCUAGUGGCCACAUAUUUUAAUUCCACAUCCCAUUCCCAUUCCGAUAUGUCUAUCCAUGGCCUCCUCUACUGUCAAGAUGAAGCCACACUCAGGUUGGAAGAACAACACCUUAUAUUCCGUCUGGGUAGCCUCCAACCUGAUGGCAUGAACAUUGAUUUCUCUAACUUCUGUUAAUGCCCCUCCUCCCUUUCUUACCCCAUCCCUUAUUUAUUUUUUAUUAUCCCCUCCCCUUUUUUUCCUCUCUCUUUUUUCUUUCUCUGCCCCUCUCACAAUCACUCCUUGCCUGUUCUCCAUCUCCUUCUGGUGUUCCCCUUUCUUUCUCCCUAGGCCCCCUGUCCCAUGAUCCUUUCCCUUCUCCAGCUGUGUAUCCCUUUUGCCAAUCAACUUUCCAGCUCCUCCCCCCCCCCCCCCCCCGACUUCUAUCAUUUCGGGUUUCACCCUCCCCCUCCCACUUUCAAAUCUCUUACUAUCUUUCCUUUCAGUUAGUCCUGACAAAGGGUCUCAGCCUGAAACGUCGACAUCGCUUCUUCCAAUAGAUGCUGCCUGGCCUGCUGCGUUCCACCAGCAUUUUGUUUGUGUUGCUUGAACUUUCAGCAUCUGCAGAUUUCCUCAUGUAAAAGUCAAGCUGUAUUGUGUUCAACUGCAGACUGCUCCAACAUUCAUGUGCUCAGGGAAUUUUUUUUGUGACUAUAUUUUACUGAUAUCUCAUAUGUGCUUGCUAUCAUAUCUGCUACGUGUGCCUUGUGCUGCGUAUGUCAAUUGAUACUGUGUUUUGCACCUUGGCUCCAGAGUAAUACUGUUUCAUUUGGCUGUAUUCAUAUGUAUUUAUGUAUGGUUCAAUGACAAUUAAACUUGAACUUGAUAGUAAAAUACACUGCCCUGGCUCCCAGUUCAGCAGUACCUCAAUUUCAAAAUUCUAAUCUUAAUUUUCAGAGCUAUCCUAUUCCUCAAACCUACAUCUCUCUGAUUGCCUCAAAAUCUCAGCCUGCCAAGAUGCACAGCCAUGAACAACAAGCGAAUUUUGUUUUAUUAAUUAUCCAAGCUGAAAAUACUGGUCAAGCUUGUCUUUAGUUCCAAAGUCCAAAGCUCUAGAGUUCACUUUCUACCCUCUCCACCACCCCCAAACGCUCUUAAGCUAUGGCUAUCUCUCCUCCAACUUUCAAUCCAGAUGAAGGGUCUCUAUCUGAAAUACUGGACAACCACUUCUAUCCCUAGGUGCUGCCUGACACCCCAGCUCUUCCUUGUAACUAUUUUCUCAAUUCCAUUUUAAAAUUCCUGAAUGAAUUUUGAGAAUCCUUGCCGGUAAGAAUUUUUUCCAUCCCCACAUAUUUUCCACUUUUUAAAAUCCCACUUCAUUUCAUGUGUGAACUAUCAAUAGGAACAAUUUUCUCAUGGGAUCAGGCACAAUAUUUCAAAAAUCCUCUUGUCUCACUUAAUUUCUUUGAAGGGGAAUACCUCAGCUUCUCUUGCAAGCAAAAAUCCUUCACCUCCUGGAAUCAUUAGUAGCCUAAUGGAUUGAUGACAAUAUAUGGAAAAUGUUGAAACUGUUAAUUUAAGGUAGUGGCUAAUGUGGUAUUUCCACCUGGCUCCCCAAAUGAAAAAUUUCACUUUUCCCAUAUUUGCCACCUGUCUGACUAUUCUACAAAAUUAUUUCCUUAGUGUUUUACAAUUGUUGUCAUUUACACAUUAUUCACACUUGUGCCAGUUAUGAAUAAGCAAAAUAGAAAAGGCGACAGCAGCACACUUGUCUUUACAUUGACCCUGGGAGACACCACAAUCUCCCUCUAGUUACAAAGAACACCAUUUCAUAUCUUCUUAGGCACUGAAGGCCAUUCACUUCAUGUCCAUGCUAGUUCUCACAGCAAUCCCAUUCCUCAGAUUACCUCCCUGUGAUCUAUUCUCUCUCAUGUGCCUAUUAGUUCCCCAACCUCCAAUUCUCCUACCACCGACCCUAGCAGUAAUUUACAUUAGCAAAUUAAGAACCACCAGCAUACUUUUGGGACACGGGGAGUAACAAUAUCCAGAAGGAAAACUCACAUCACAGUGAGAACGUGAGACAAAAGUUAUGUCUGAGCCCAGGUCACUGCACUGAGAGGCAACACCACCUACACUACCAAAUGUUUGGACCAGUGUUUUACCAUUGCCUCCUAACAGUGACCUCUUAUUCCAUAAGCCUGAAUUUGAGGAUAUAGAAUUUGAAAAGGUACAACAGAAGAGAUCAGAUUGCUUUGCAGGAACAUUCAGUAGACUGAUUUCCUUCUGAGCUAGAGGAUUCUCAUCUGUACUGAGGGUUCUCCUUUGCCAAUUUUGCACUUUAAAAUGA